GACGAACCGUGCGAACGUUGUUCGGAAUCACUGGGCUUAAAGGGCGCGUAGGCGGGCGUCCAAGUCAGGGGUGAAAUCUUUCGGCCUAACCGGAAAAGAGCCCCUGAUACUGGACAUCUCGAGGGAGGAAGGGGCGUGUGGAACUUCAGGUGGAGCGGUGAAAUGUGUAGAUAUCGGAAGGAACGCCGGUGGCGAAAACGACGCGCUGGACCUCUUCUGACGCUGAGGAGCGAAAGCCAGGGGAGGAAACGGC
rnacentral:rRNA from 1 species